rnacentral:rRNA from 1 species
UGGGGAAUCUUGGACAAUGGGCGCAAGCCUGAUCCAGCCAUGCCGCGUGAGUGAAGAAGGCCUUCGGGUUGUAAAGCUCUUUUACCAGGGACGAUAAUGACGGUACCUGGAGAAUAAGCCCCGGCAAACUUCGUGCCAGCAGCCGCGGUAAUACGAAGGGGGCUAGCGUUGUUCGGAAUUACUGGGCGUAAAGGGCGCGUAGGCGGCAAUUCAAGUCAUCUGUGAAAUCUCCGGGCUUAACUCGGAACGGUCAGAUGAUACUGCUUUGCUAGAGUGCAGAAGGGGCAAUCGGAAUUCUUGGUGUAGCGGUGAAAUGCGUAGAUAUCAAGAGGAACACCAGUGGCGAAGGCGGCUAACUGGUCCGGUACUGACGCUGAGGUGCGAAAGCGUGGGGAGCAAACAGGAUUAGAUACCCUUGUAGUCCCUGAGCGGGCUGGCAAGGCGCAU